rnacentral:rRNA from 3 species
GGGUUGUGAGGUUAAGCGACUAAGCGUACACGGUGGAUGCCCUGGCAGUCAGAGGCGAUGAAGGGCGUGCUAAUCUGCGAUAAGCGCCGGUAAGGUGAUAUGAACCGUUAUAACCGGCGAUACCCGAAUGGGGAAACCCAGUGUGACUCGUCACACUAUCAUUAACUGAAUCCAUAGGUUAAUGAGGCGAACCGGGGGAACUGAAACAUCUAAGUACCCCGAGGAAAAGAAAUCAACCGAGAUUCCCCCAGUAGCGGCGAGCGAACGGGGAGGAGCCCAGAGCCUGAAUCAGCAUGUGUGUUAGUGGAAGCGUCUGGAAAGGCGCGCGAUACAGGGUGACAGCCCCGUACACAAAAGCGCAUGUGCUGUGAGCUCGAUGAGUAGGGCGGGACACGUGGUAUCCUGUCUGAAUAUGGGGGGACCAUCCUCCAAGGCUAAAUACUCCUGACUGACCGAUAGUGAACCAGUACCGUGAGGGAAAGGCGAAAAGAACCCCGGCGAGGGGAGUGAAAAAGAACCUGAAACCGUGUACGUACAAGCAGUGGGAGCACCCUUCGGGGUGUGACUGCGUACCUUUUGUAUAAUGGGUCAGCGACUUAUAUUCUGUAGCAAGGUUAACCGUAUAGGGGAGCCG